rnacentral:rRNA from 1 species
GACGAACGCUGGCGGCGUGCUUAACACAUGCAAGUCGAACGGUGAACGAGGGAGCUUGCUCCCUCCGGAUCAGUGGCGAACGGGUGAGUAACACGUGAGCAAUCUGCCCCGAACUCUGGGAUAAGCGUUGGAAACGACGUCUAAUACCGGAUACGACGCGGGAGGGCAUCCUCUCCGGGUGAAAAGAACUUCGGUUGGGGAUGAGCUCGCGGCCUAUCAGCUUGUUGGUGGGGUAACGGCUCACCAAGGCGACGACGGGUAGCCGGCCUGAGAGGGUGACCGGCCACACUGGGACUGAGACACGGCCCAGACUCCUACGGGAGGCAGCAGUGGGGAAUAUUGCACAAUGGGCGCAAGCCUGAUGCAGCAACGCCGCGUGAGGGACGACGGCCUUCGGGUUGUAAACCUCUUUUAGCAGGGAAGAAGCGAAAGUGACGGUACCUGCAGAAAAAGCACCGGCUAACUACGUG